rnacentral:rRNA from 1 species
GAUGAACGCUAGCUACAGGCUUAACACAUGCAAGUCGCAGGACUGGCGCACGGGUGAGUAACGCGUAUCCAACCUUCCCAUAACUACGGGAUAACCCGUUGAAAGACUGCCUAAUACAGUUUUGUCAUGGAUGUGGAUGCGUCUGAUUAGCUUUUUGGGGGGGUAACGGCCCACCAAGGCUACGAUCAGUAGGGGUUCUGAGAGGAAGGCACACCAGAUUGGAUAUGAGACACGGUCCAAAAUGGUAGGGGAGGCAGGAGUGUGGAAGAUUGGUGAAGGGGCGAGGGCGUGACCAAGCCAAGUGGCGUGCAGAAGGACGGCCUAUGGAUUGUAAACUGCUUUUAUGUGGGGAGAGGUACCAAAUGAAUAAGGACCGGCUAAUUCCGUGCCAGCAGCCGCGGUAAUUC